rnacentral:misc_RNA from 1 species
GUAGGUGAACCUGCGGAAGGAUCAUUAACUCAAUAUAUGCAUGUCACUUCGGUGGCGUGUAUCUAUUAUCAAACCAAAAUUAACAAUCCGUGAAUUUUAAAAACAAAAAUGAAUGAGUUUCGCGUGUCAUUACUUCGUUUGAAUGCACGUACUCAGCCAAUACCAAUUCCACUUUAUUUUAACCAUAUUAACCCAUUACCGUAACGUUUGCUCGUCAAGCGUACUAAAACAAGCGUGUGUUCAUUACUUA